GUGGAGGGAGCCGCGGCCCACGGCAUCACCAGCGACGACCUGUUCUGGCUGAAGACGUCUCCGGGGAAAACGUUGGUGGUUGGAGCCAGCUACGUGGCCCUGGAGUGCGCCGGCUUCCUCACGGGCUUCGGCCUCGACACCACCGUCAUGAUGAGGAGCAUCCCCCUGCGGGGCUUU